GAACAGCCAAUGUGUUAGUGGCUUAGAAAAAAGGUCUUACAUAUCUAUUUUAGAAGUAAGAAUAUUUCAACUAAAAUGGUUGUGACUUAGUGGUAAAAGUUAUGAAGUGAUGACAUAUGGUACCUGGUUCAAUUUCUUGCAAAUCCAUUUUUGGAGAUACAUUUGAGGGUGUAGGUAUUUUGAAAAUUAAAUAAAGUCUUCCGUUUGAGUUUGAAUUUGGACAUAUUGCUAUUUACACUGACGUCUUAGGCUUACACCCCCUGAACUACAGCGAAUUGGGCCAAGCCCAACCUUCCUAAUCAAACCCGGU
rnacentral:lncRNA from 1 species